rnacentral:rRNA from 1 species
UACGUAGGGUGCGAGCGUUGUCCGGAAUCACUGGGCGUAAAGGGCGCGUAGGUGGCCCGACAAGUCACUGGUGAAAGCUCGACGCUCAACGUCGAGUCGGCCAGUGAUACUGUUGGGCUGGAGCACUGUAGAGGCUCAUGGAAUUCCGGGUGUAGCGGUGGAAUGCGUAGAGAUCCGGAAGAACACCGGUGGCGAAGGCGGUGAGCUGGGCAGUAGCUGACACUGAGGCGCGACAGCGUGGGGAGCAAACAGG